rnacentral:rRNA from 1 species
UACGUAGGGGGCAAGCGUUGUCCGGAAUCAUUGGGCGUAAAGCGCGUGUAGGCGGCCCGGUAAGUCCGCUGUGAAAGUCGGGGGGCUCAACCCUCGAAUGCCGGUGGAUACUGUCGGGCUAGAGUGCGGAAGAGGCGAGUGGAAUUCCUGGUGUAGCGGUGAAAUGCGCAGAUAUCAGGAGGAACACCAAUUGCGAAGGCAGCUUACUACACAAUGAUUGACACUGAGGCAACGAAAGCGUGGGUAGCAAACAGG